UUCGUCCUAGCCGGCGCCACAACACUGACAAAGUAUUUUACAAAACAUUUGUGGUGCUUCUAACUUCACUAGUAGCGCAACUUUUCGUUAAUCACGAAACAAUGUUUUCGUCUUAAAAUCGUCAGUUAAUAACAUCGAGAGAUAUUUAAUGGCAAGGCGCAUUAUUUUUCCUUUUGUGCUGGAUGCUUUAUAUCGUACUAAAUUUAGACGAUAUCGUUCUGGAAUGACGUUUAGAUCUUUUGUACGGCAGAUGUGAUGUUAUUAGUUGUGUUGACAGUAGCAAUUCGACUGUGAUGAGAACGUUGUCAGUCUGCUAUACCGAUAAAUCUUAUGUUGUUGCAUCGCCUUGUAUCCUUAUCUUGAAAUGGCGGGGUUGUAUUCAAUAGACCAUUAGAGAGAUGCGUCACAAACAGAUUUUGAGAUCAAGAAUUUCCUCCCAUUGAAAUGACGUUUAAAUUUAAUAACGCCGAAAUACCUCCUGGCUUCUGCCUACCGUUAUUGAUUGUUCUCUUACCAGCUGUCAUACGAAAAAGUUUGGACGAAUUCCUGGCCAUUUAUCUUCUUCAAAUACCUUAGAAUCCAUUGUGAUGUCUGUCGCUGUUACUUACCUAAACUUGCGAAAGUAUAAAGUAAAUUAUGUACGAACACUUCCACUAGUAAAUUAUUUCCAAACA